GGGGUUGUAGCUCAGUGGGAGAGCACUUGCCUAGCAGGUAAGUCUGUGAGGCACUGGGUUCAAUUCUCAGCACUGUCU
rnacentral:tRNA from 1 species